GGGGGAGCGCGGGGGUGGUGGCUUGAGCAUGGCGGGCUGCAGGUCCCGAGCCCUGCCCCACAGGUAGGCGGCGGAGGCCCCGCGAGAAUUCCAGCGUAUUGUGGGCGGGCCCGCACUGCGGGAGAGACCCGGCGCACUCUCCGCAGCUGCUGGCCCGAGUGCUGAGCCCCUCACUGCUGGGGCCGGCGGCGCUGCCGGCCGCUCGGAGUGCGGGCCUGCUGAGCCCGCGCCCACCCAGAACUCGCUGGCCCGCGAGUGCAGCGCGCAGCCCCUGCUCCCGCCCGCGCGUCUCCCUCCACAUCUCCGGGCAAGCAAAGGGAGCCGGCUCCAGCCUCGGCCAGCCCAGAGAGUGCCUCCCACAGUGCAGAGGCGGGCUGAAGGGCUGGCUUCUCAAGCGUGGCCAGAGUGGACGCCGAGGCCGAGGAGGCACCCACAGUGAGCAAGGGCUGACAGCACGUUGUCACCUCAGUACCACAGAAAUUGAAAACAGACAGGAGACUACUGUAUAUCAGUUCAAGGCCGAGUGACAAUCUUCUAAGAAAAACUCACAGAACUGGAAUUUGGAAGGCAAGUUAUGGGAUCUCAAACAUGUGGAGUGUGGAAAACAUGAAACAUUUCCUGAAAAUAAAAUAAUAAUAUCUGUCAAAUCAAAUCAAAUUCACUAACUCUGCAAGACUAAAUGCAAUUUUUAAGGUAAAUUUUAAAUUUUUAAGUGCUUAUUUUUAAGAAAGGUUGUGUUCAUUCUAUUAAUCUUUGUUCUAGACAUCACAGAUUACUCAAAUAAGCUGUUACUUGCUAGUGAUUUUGGUUUUGAAUAUUUUCUGGAAAACGGGUUAUAGAGUUUAAAUUAUAAGAUUCUUCUUCAGACAAUAAUGGUUUUUAAUGCUCCUCCUUCUCUGCAAGAAUAUGAUUGGUUGAGUGGGUUGCAGAAAAACUUGGUUUUUAGUUUUGUAUAAGAGGAACUCUUAGAAUUAGUGAAUUAAGUCUUGUCACUGCGGUUGAACAAAUUGCUGCCUUAGAAGCAAAUGUAAUACAAAGAGGGAGGGAGUGGGGAAGGUGGGCUAUGGUAUUAAAAUUGGCUUCAGUUUACUCAUGUAUAAAAUGGACAGAAUGUUAUUACCAACUCCUAGGAACAGUGUGAGGAGUCUAUACAAUAAUGCAUAUAUAGGGUUUAGUGCAAUUUCUGGAACUUAGUAAGUGUCCACUGAAUUAAAGGGAUGAUGUUGAAGAUGAGAGAAGAGGUGAGCACAGUUUCAUAAUAUACCCCCUCUAGUUCUUGUCUUGUCCUACUACGCCACCUAGUAGGACCAAGAACAAGAUAGGCUAGUCCUCACUAAUGGUCUGCCUUUGUUUUGUGCACAGUUGAAAAUGCCUAAGCAAAUCUUUUCUAGGUUUCUGCACAACAUUGUGAAUAAAAACACCUACUUACCUCUUAUUCCAAAACCCUCCUUUGUCUCUGUCCUGAAACUCCAUUGCUUGCAGAAUAGAUGAGGUGGUUGAAAAUCUGUCUGUCAAAUCUGUGAGAGAAAACUGGAUUUAUUUGCAGUAGUUGAGGAUGGGGAAACAAGCAAAAUAUUUAGUUCCAUGGGCCAGGCAAAGUUCUAGCAUUGCUCUGCAAUGACAUUUAAAACCCUUAGCAGUCACCAUAUGAUGUGCUUGAUUGGUCUUCUAUCUACCUACUCACUUCUUUAUUCUCCCUUUACUACUCUGUAGCAUAAGUGUUGCUAUGCACAGUUAACUGGUCUCCAAGAUUCCCUUCCCACACGGUGGCCCUUUGUUUUCCAGUGAAGCCUCCUACCUUGUCGAUUGUAUAUCUGUUUACAUUCACACCGUUCUUAGCAUUCUGCGGAGAGCCAAGCACCGCUCUUGCUACCAGGGAACAGGUGUGGGUAGAAUCUGUUUUGAAAAAAUGCACAGUGAAGAUGGAACCAACAAUUGCAGCUAAUGGUGUUCUUUACAUAUACUCCUGCUAAAUGUAGAAGAAUGAGAAACAAGAUUAAAAAGCCAUAUGUAGUUUGCAGAUGAAUAUAAACAUUACACGUUUGCAUAUCAUUUACUGAUGUCACCAUGUCAUCUGGUCUAUUUUGCCUUAAACCUAUGCCUUAAAUCUGUCCGCUGUUCUAUAUUUCCACUGCUUUACAGUGGACUCUCCCUCAUUCAUGGCCCAUGAAUGCAAGCAACAGAAAACAAUACUAGUCUCAUUAAGAAAUAGAAAAUUUAGACAAAUGGUGUCCUUUGCUCCAAAGUCGAUGAGAAUCUGAAAGACUCUUUGUGCACAGUUGAAAAUGUCUAAGCAAAUCUUUUCUAGGUUUCUGCACAACGUUGUGAAUAAAAAUACCUACUUACCUGUUAUUCCAGAAUGGGAAAUUUAGACUGGGAAAAUUACAAGGCAGAACAAUGGCCUUUCAAGGGCAUGAAGUCUUCCAAGAAUAGUGUUAUAGAACUGCAGGCACCACCACUGCCUGGGUGGUUCUGCGUUAGGUGAGAGUGGAUCUUAACACUUCUUUGACUUUAUGUGUCUCAGUCCUUUGAGACUCAAAGUCCUAGUGGAGCAUACUAAUGGCUGAACUUAAGUUAAGGGUUGAGCUCCGAUUGUGAUAAGACAAAAAAGAGAAAGAUUCUACUCCCUGUUCAGACUGCAGAUCAGGAAGCAUGCACUAUAUCUCUGGAAUGUACACAGAAUGGAGUUCCUCCAAAUUAAGAGAGGAAUAUUAAUUGCAUACUGGACAGUUUAAAAAAGUAAAAUAUUUCUACUUCC